rnacentral:rRNA from 1 species
AGUGAACGCUGGCGGUAGGCCUAACACAUGCAAGUCGAACGGCAGCACAGUAAGAGCUUGCUCUUACGGGUGGCGAGUGGCGGACGGGUGAGGAAUACAUCGGAAUCUACUUUUUCGUGGGGGAUAACGUAGGGAAACUUACGCUAAUACCGCAUACGACCUACGGGUGAAAGCAGGGGAUCUUCGGACCUUGCGCGAUUGAAUGAGCCGAUGUCGGAUUAGCUAGUUGGCGGGGUAAAGGCCCACCAAGGCGACGAUCCGUAGCUGGUCUGAGAGGAUGAUCAGCCACACUGGAACUGAGACACGGUCCAGACUCCUACGGGAGGCAGCAGUGGGGAAUAUUGGACAAUGGGCGCAAGCCUGAUCCAGCCAUACCGCGUGGGUGAAGAAGGCCUUCGGGUUUUGAAGCCCUUUUGUUGGGAAAGAAAAGCAGCAGGUUAAUACCCCGCUGUUCUGACGGUACCCAAAGAAUAAGCACCGGCUAACUUCGUG